rnacentral:lncRNA from 1 species
GCCUCUGAUGCAGAGUCUGGAGUGUCAUCCCUGGGAACUGGCAUGAAUAAAAUAGGCCAGGAAGGUCUGCGUGCCUUCCAACCUUAAUGCAGCUCUGUGCUGCACGACUUAAAGGCAGAGCACCUGCCGUCACAGUCCUUAGUGGACUGGCCUUUAUCUCAGGUGAGUGGGGCCUUUCUGGUUGGGUGUCUUGCUGACAGGUGUGCAGGGAGAGAUGAGAGCCUGGCCCAUGGGUGAAUGAUUGCUGUUCAUCCAUGGAAUUCAUUUUCCUAUUUGAAAUGCCGCAUAAUCGGGUGGCGGAUAGAGCGCUGAAUUGGAAAUCCAGGAUACGCAGACUUUGUGAGGACCCUGCUGCUGAUACUUAGAGUGGUCCAGCAGUGGUGGCUUCCUGUGCCUGGGAACUCAUGUGGAAAGACCUAGCAAGGACACUGAGAAGCUACAUCUCAUUCUGCAGUCCUAGCACCAGUAAAUGUCUGAGGAAUGAAUAAGAGAGCGUGUGCAUGCUCUGAAGUCUGGACAACCACCUAUUUUCAGUUUGAAAACAUAACAGAGUUCUCGGGACUUGAAAUGUUUACCUUAGACUUGCCAGAAGCUUCUCUCUUGCCUGUUGACCGUGCAUCUCCAUUGUGUCCCGGAUGCCAAUGCUGUUGUCAGGAAGUAGUUUUUGGCACUGAGUUCACGCUCUCAUCUGUGAACCGACCUUCAGAGCAACACUUAACUGGUUUCCAGUACACUCAGAAUAAUGGACAAAUAACUCCAGGAUCCUUGCCGUGGCCCAUUGGCCCCACGUGUGGCAGUCCUGAGGACGUGCUUCACCUUCUCCUGUCAUCUCCCUUCUCCUUUUCCACGCAGCUCUAGAAAACAACAGGCCUUCCUGGGGCUCCAGCCCCCGCCCUCCCAAGCCUGCUCCGACCUCAGCUCAUUUGCACAUCUCUUCUUGCUGGAAUCCCUGCCUCACGUCAUGGCUUCUACUUCUAUCAGCUUCACGUCUUUGCUCAGAUGUCGUCCCCUUACAGAAGCCUUCCCCCAGCCGCCCAGUUUAAGGUAGUAGAACCCCCUCCAUUACUUCCCAUGUUCUCAG